rnacentral:rRNA from 1 species
AUUGAACGCUGGCGGCACGCCUAACACAUGCAAGUCGAGCGGUAGCAUGCCCUGUAUUCGUAUGGGGUGAUGACGAGCGGCGGACGGGUGAGUAACACGUAGGAACCUACCCAAGAGCGGGGGACAACCAAGGGAAACUUUGGCUAAUACCGCGUAAUCUCGAGAGAGCAAAGCUGCAGAGAGGUGGUGCUUUUGGAGGGGCCUGCGUCCGAUUAGCUAGUUGGUGUGGUAAGAGCGCACCAAGGCGAUGAUCGGUAACUGGUCUGAGAGGACGACCAGUCACACUGGGACUGAGACACGGCCCAGACUCCUACGGGAGGCAGCAGUGGGGAAUAUUGGACAAUGGGGGGAACCCUGAUCCAGCGAUGCCGCGUGGGUGAAGAAGGCCUUCGGGUUGUAAAGCCCUUUAGGUUGGGAAGAAGGUAUGAUGGGGAUAAUCCAUGAUAUUUGACGGUACCGACAGAAUAAGCACCGGCAAACUCUGUGCCAGCCGCCGCCGUAACAC